rnacentral:rRNA from 1 species
AUUGAACGCUGGCGGCAUGCCUUACACAUGCAAGUCGAACGGCAGCACGGGAGCAAUCCUGGUGGCGAGUGGCGAACGGGUGAGUAAUAUAUCGGAACGUGCCCAGUAGUGGGGGAUAGCCCGGCGAAAGCCGGAUUAAUACCGCAUACGACCUGUGGGUGAAAGCGGGGGAUCGCAAGACCUCGCGCUAUUGGAGCGGCCGAUAUCAGAUUAGCUUGUUGGUGGGUAAAAGCCCACCAAGGCGACGAUCUGUAGCUGGUCUGAGAGGGCGACCAGCCACACUGGGACUGAGACACGGCCCAGACUCCUACGGGAGCAGCAGUGGGGAAUUUUGGACAAUGGGCGCAAGCCUGAUCCAGCCAUGCCGCGUGUGGGAAGAAGGCCUU